AGAUUGUUUCCCGAAUCGAUUGCCGGAACAACACAAACACAAAGCGAUGAAUUCCGGCUGUCGGCCGUGGACUCUCAUAGCAAACAAUUUCAUUGCCUGAAAAAGAAAAGAAGAUAAUUAAAAGUCCUGGUGAAAGAAGUUGCAGGCAUGGCUCGUAUUUUGUUCUCACUCUAGAUGAAGUUGAGUGAUAGAAGAAAUAGCCAUUGUGGAUGCCAUUCAGCUAGUAUAGAUUCUACAGUAAAAGAUGCAUGAUGAAGGAUUGGAGACUUGUCAUGCUGCUGUUCUCACUCACCAAAGCUGGCGUUCUUUGUUUCUGGUGCUCUCUUUCGGUUGGAUUGCUGGGGCUUGGUGCAUCUGGAUCCACCAUGACCUUGUAAAAUCAUCAGGAAUGGUUCUUUCUUCUUUGGUAGCCAUGCAGAAUGCACAACCCUCACACCUCAGAUUUGGACAUGGAACGCAUGAAACACCAACAUGAGCAUUAACCUCUGACGAGCCACACUUGUCCCUCCACAACUAGUUCAAGCAGUAAGUCACCGAUCAUCCUUAUCAUUCACUGACCAAGCAGUGCCAGCAUCUACCGGUGGGCCGGUCAAGACAAGACUUACAUCACUGUUCAAGUGGAAUGGCCAAACAAGAGUCACUAGUAUCUACUUUGAAAUGGCAUGAAAGAUGAACAGAUGUCAGCAUGAUUGGGAAGAUUUAAGUAUCCAGAAAAGGAAAGUCAAGGUGUCUUAUCAAUGCAGUGUAUGCAUCCUGGCAAUGCCACAAAUGCAGAAAAGUUCGACGGUCAUUUCCAACAGUGCAUCUAACUACUGGCCUAUGAUUCUUGUACUCACGGUGGGAUGACUGCUUCGUCCUAGAUUUUUUUUCUUGGAGAAAGAGCACAAGAAAAGAACAGGACAUCUUGGGCUGGGCUCAAUUACUAUCGAGACUUCAACCACAUGGAACAGCAGCUGCUGAGGCAAGAGCAGCAGCCAGAAAGUUUGGUAUGAUCUCAUUCUCUUAAUCAUGCAGCUAGCUAAUCAUCAACUUAUUGGCACUUACU